rnacentral:rRNA from 1 species
UACGGGGGGGGGCAAGCGUUGUUCGGAAUUACUGGGCGUAAAGGGCUCGUAGGCGGCCAACUAAGUCAGACGUGAAAUCCCUAGGCUCAACCUAGGAACUGCGUCUGAUACUGGAUGGCUUGAAUCCGGGAGAGGGAUGCAGAAUUCCAGGUGUAGCGGUGAAAUGCGUAGAUAUCUGGAGGAGUACCGGUGGCGAAGGCGGCAUCCUGGACCGGCAUUGACGCUGAGGAGCGAAAGCCAGGGGAGCAAACGGG